rnacentral:rRNA from 1 species
AAUAGAUACCCUGGUAGUCCAUGCCGUAAACGUUGGGCACUAGGUGUGGGGACAUUCCACGUUUCCGCGCCGUAGCUAACGCAUUAAGUGCCCCGCCUGGGGAGUACGGCCGCAAGGCUAAAACUCAAAGGAAUUGACGGGGGCCCGCACAAGCGGCGGAGCAUGCGGAUUAAUUCGAUGCAACGCGAAGAACCUUACCAAGGCUUGACAUGUGCCAGACCGCCUCAGAGAUGGGGUUUCCCCUUCGGGGCUGGUUCACAGGUGGUGCAUGGUUGUCGUCAGCUCGUGUCGUGAGAUGUUGGGUUAAGUCCCGCAACGAGCGCAACCCUCGUUCCAUGUUGCCAGCACGUAGUGGUGGGGACUCAUGGGAGACUGCCGGGGUCAACUCGGAGGAAGGUGGGGAUGACGUCAAAUCAUCAUGCCCCUUAUGUCUUGGGCUUCACGCAUGCUACAAUGGCCGGUACAAUGGGUUGCGAUACUGUGAGGUGGAGCUAAUCCCUAAAAGCCGGUCUCAGUUCGGAUUGGGGUCUGCAACUCCG